AGUCGUAACAAGGUUUCCGUAGGUGAUCCUGCGGAAGGAUCAUUAACACGUAUCCAAACGUUAAAACCCCCCGUGAACCUUCAUCCUGCUCUUGUAACCCGUAGUUCGCAAUCUCUGAUAAAUCAUAGCCCGGAAAGUUGAAGUGAUUCAGAGACCUCUGGCUACGUGCGAACAUUGGAACAGUUACAAGCGAGCGGUAGUUCUAUAGGCAAUGCUUCCCCAAGCUUUGCCAAAGGGUCCCCAUGCCCCCUAAUAACCCCACAGUUUAAUGCGAAGCUCAAUGUAAUACAUUGGGUAAAAAAACCGAACAACUGUUAACAAUGGAUAUCUUGGUUCUC
rnacentral:misc_RNA from 1 species